UACGUAGGGGGCAAGCGUUGUCCGGAAUCAUUGGGCGUAAAGCGCGUGUAGGCGGCCCGGUAAGUCCGCUGUGAAAGUCGGGGGCUCAACCCUCGGAUGCCGGUGGAUACUGUCGGGCUCGAGUACGGAAGAGGCGAGUGGAAUUCCUGGUGUAGCGGUGAAAUGCGCAGAUAUCAGGAGGAACACCAAUUGCGAAGGCAGCUCGCUGGGACGUUACUGACGCUGAGACGCGAAAGCCAGGGGAGCAAACGGG
rnacentral:rRNA from 1 species